AGCAGCAGCCGUCAUCCUUCAGCGUGGUGGAUGUGCUGAACUAUUUCUGCUCCAUCCAAAAAGAGGAGGAGUACAGAAAGGCUCUAUGCGUUGCACCUGCUGGUCACAACAACACUGUACUUCUGCCCUUACAUGACUGCGGUUCUUCACCCAUCUUUCGUCUGGGAGAGACUUACAGUAUGUCCAGGAUACGCAGGCCACCAGGAGUUCCUCUGCCUCCGCUGCGAAACCGUCCCUUCCUCACGCACUUUCCCCAUUUCAUCUCUUUGCCGUUCUCUCGAGUCACUCUGCGCCCCUUUCACGUCUACUCAGACGCGGACUGGCUGAAGGCCUCCCCUCACCGCUACUUCAUUCAACAGCAGUCCUUCGUGGAGUACUACAGAUGAUGCUUCAUAGUCUGUAACGUCCCCAUUAACUCAUCACACAUUAUAGCAAAU